UACUAGAAGAAACAGAAAUGUACCGAAGUGUGUACCCAUCAAUUGUGAUUGGAUUCAGCUGUGUGUGAGUGAAAUCUUCAAAGAGCAGCACUUCAGUAGAGGCAAGUAGAAACUGGAGGAUAUAAUAGCUGUUUGGGAGUGUUGAAAUGAGCAUUUAAUUGAACAGGGCCUGGCAAUAAACCUCUACUCUUAGGGAAAAAAUCAGAACGCUGUACCAAAAACCAAUAUAUACUGUCACCGUUUGCACCUCUGUAAAAGAGGGAGAAUAAGGCUCUGGCAACUUCACAUUACAUUCUGCUAAAAAAAAUCCUUCAACCUCUUAAAUAUCUCAUGACUCAAUAUUGCCAAAGUGUGAAGUUGCCCACAGCUUAUUUAAUCUUAAAACAAAAAGCAUGGAGUCUGGUCUGUUAUUAUUUUAUUCCACUUUCCAUUUCACACAGUCAUGAGCGUUGCCUCUGCAGCAGGUCGGUGGUUAAAUAUCUUGCUCAAACACGUUGCAGCUGGGAUGAACGCUGGCUCAGAGUCUGAUUGAUCCAUCCCUUUCCCCAUUCCUUGCUGCUGUGCUUUUAGGCAGUCUCCAGGUGUGAUUGGUUGCUUCCAGUCACAAUCGUGUUAUUAGUGUUGGGGAAAAGUCCCAGAGAGUCAAAUAUCUCUCCUCCUUUUCUCUUUUCAGCUGAGAUAACUCCACUUUUAUGAGUUUUGCUGCAUACACGUGGCUGUUUUGGCCUUUUUGUCUCACUUUGAAGCACUCCCACCCUCGUUUGUGCCAGAGCACAGACAAAUGCUUCUUGUAGUCUGUUGUAAUCCAGUAAAUGUGUAGAUCCACCUUCCUGUCCUCCUGUCUGUCAAGAGGCCCUUCCUUGUUCUUGUACCUUUGUUGUCAGGCCAAAAGGUUUCUAACCUCAAGUUGAAGGCCAAUAAAUGGCGGCAUCUGCUCCCCUGUCUGUCUGUGAUUGGUUAAUUCCACUCAGGCCUCAUGUAGUUGGGGAUGCACUGGCAGACUUGGGGGCUGUAGUAAAAACCAGUCGGGCACACGGGUCUGGGUUUUCUGCAGGGCAACCUGUAACAGCUAGACAGAGGGAGAAGAAGGAGGAAAAUGGAAGAGAACGCCAGAAAAAGCAAGAUCAAGAGAAAGAUGGAAAGAAGGAGGCAAAGUAGAAAAAGACAGAAAAUGAAAGAUGGGUGGAGGAAAGGAAGGGUGAGGUUGAGAGAAGGAGGAGAAAGCAACAGAGAAGAAAUAAAAAGAAAACACAGCAGAGAUUAUAUUCUCUUGGCAUGGAUACUAUUGGUUAUUCAGAUCUUCACAUCCUUUUUGGAUAAACCCUGAUCCAAGUUUUAUUUGUGCGUGCAUCAAGCGAUUCUGUGUGUGAGUAAAAAGUAUUUCUCCAGAGAGGGGAGGAAUGUGGCCAAAUUCUGGGAACACUCCUCUUCAAAAUCACAGUAGGUGUAUCUUCUGUUGUACCACCUCCUGUGACCAGAUGUUGAAUCGAACAUAAAAAAUAGACAAAAUGAUGAAACAAAUGAUGGAAAAAGGAGUUAUCUUGUGCAUACUUGAAUAAUUAUGUCCUAUACUGCCUUGUCUGUAUUAAAGAGCUGAAUUGGGUUACACCAGCUAUUCAAAAAGCCAUAGGCUACUAAGUUUGUGUAUCUUUAUCUUUCUCAGAUACCACUAGCUAGUUUCAAAUUAGUGAUUUACUGAUUAGCACCAUUAAAACUUAAGAAGUAGUAAUUUUACCAGUUCGACACAGUUACAGUUAGACUAGUUUUACUGAAAAUCUGUUGCUAGCAAAGAUAAAAAUACUAGCUUAUAUUACUGUAGCAUCCUAAGUUGUAGCAUAACUUCCAAAAACUGGUUUUAGGGGGACAAACAUUACAUUUAACUUAACUACUAAUCCUUUAUCCUAAGAUUUUUAAUGUAUCAUUUUAUGUGUCUGGUCUAUAGGUCUGGUCAGAUUUGUCAACCAUAUUUCAUCAAACUCCUUCAAAACAGUCGGUCUUAUAUUAGCAAGCUAACGUUAGCGUUAUUUAAUUAGCUAGUUAGCUACAGUACUUUCCUACGCAACAGCUGGCAGUUACCUUAGUGGGUGUAGAUAUUUAAAUACUAUAAUAGUUACUAGCUAAAUAACUAUAAUCUCUACAAAGAACAAGUUCAUGUUGUGGAAUCAGUUUUAAUUAGUGUGAAUCUUCACUUGAACAAAUAGGAUAGUUUGAAGAAUUUGGAACUUUAAGCUGUGAAAUAUUUUAAUUUUACUUGCACCUGCAAGGAUUACAUGGACAGACAAAAAUGGGUCAAAAUGGAGGCUGCAACAAGAAAAUCGAACUCAUUCUGAGUCUCAGUUUGAGUACAUAUCGUAUUUAUUUCAGCCCUCUUAAGCUGAAGUUGGACACUUAGCCAUCAAAGGUCACUUUGGUGUUUAUAUGUCCAUGAACUUUGAUUAAAAAUCACUCUUAUCAAAGCUAUGUUUUUCCUUGUGCCUUGUGUCACUCCAUCUAUUUCUUAGCCUGCCCGCCUAUCUGAUGGCUGCUCUGCUCACUGUCAUCAAGUUCACCCUGUCUCCAUGUCUGUCUCUCCGCAGGCCUCUUGGGUCAGAGGAAGGUUGAUCCCUUGCAUGCCUGCUGUGGGAACCGCAACACACAUGCAAAACGCGCACACGCAGCUGAAAUCAUGGCCGAAUGUUUAAGACACCCUGUGUCCAUAAAUGGUCAUAUGAAAACAUGCGAACGAAAGAAAAUGGAGAACGAAAGAUUUUCUUUUUCGAGUUUGGAAUGUUUUACAUGUCCAUUGAGAGUUUGCUUGCUUUCCCACUCUAACUGUCUAUCUGUCAAAGCUCUGGUUCUCACUCUUUCCUCACCCCUGUCUCUUGCUGAGCUCCCAGGGUGAAGAGUUGUGAUGGCACCCCAAGGGCCGACCCGGAUGAGCUAGCGCCUAAAGCACAGCAGACAGGACCAGCUCUCCCAAUGGAGUGCAGAGCUGUGGAAUACAGUGUUUGUUCCAAGGACACUUGAAACCAAGCCGAGGACAGACUCCCGGCCUUCUUGAGCGCCUACCUGCAGGAGUUGGAGUUGAACUUUCUGCCCUGCCGCAGACAUGACUGUGGGCUCUCUCUGCACUGACACAGGCAGGUGUCGGGGUUAAGGGGCUGAUUCCCGGGGCACUCCGCAGCGCACACGCAGCCACACAGCUCUUCAUCCCACCGCUGGCCAAUGGGGCACCAUUUCCCCUCACCUUGACCUUCACACUGGCAUUCGCCUGAGAGAAGAAAGAGUUUAACAUAAACCGGGAAAGAAAAAAAACAUACAGGUGUUGUGGUCCAGUUUCCAGCCUGGAUUGCAUCUGUCCUCGGUGAGUCCAUUUCGACAGACGCACUCGCAGGUGGACUCAUCCAGAACCCUGUUGGGCCCGCAGAGAGCCAGCAGACCUGAGUUCAGCGCCUCUGGAAGCCAUAUGGAAAUUAAAAAAAUGGUUUAAAGUCUGUGCUGUCUUGUGUCAGAUGUCCCACCUUGAACCUGCCGCACACUAUCCACACUUGUGUGACUGCAGUAUUUUACCCAUGAGGUGAUCUGUUGCGGCUCGUCUUAUGAUGGUGUGGAGUGGCCGCUUGGAGAGGCAUUCGCACGAAGUGUGGUUGACGAAGGUUACCAUGACGACGGAGCGAUCCAUCCUGGGCGGGGACAGUUCCAUCAGCUGGCGAGGAGAAAGACGAAGUUUCAAGGGUAGAUACAAGAAAGAAGGAAGGGAAUCCAGCUGUACCGUCUUGUUGAUGAGCGUGUGACUUGUGUUCGUGCAGUAGAAGGCCUCGUUUGUGCAGCAUCCGCCACAUCGAUGCAGCGCCACACAGCGAGGGAGGUAGAAUUGACUGGUGGAUUCUGGGUAUUCUUUGGCGACCUCAACACACACCUCUCUGGGCUGGCAUGAGGUCCGCUGGAUCUCCUCUAGGAUGACUGAAAACAUGUGUGAUUAAGCAACAGGGUUUUAUUUGCUGACACUCUGAAUCCGAAUACAAGAGAGCUUUUUUCAUCAAACUCUCCAAUACUGGAUCUAGUUUUCAUUUUUCAGUCUUGUUUCCAACUUUUCUCUAAAAUUUUUUUUCAUUUACCACCUGUUUUUGUCUGUCUCUAGUGCAAUGAAAUCUGUGUGGCUGUACACUCUAGUGUUUAAACAUGAGAUCUUAGAUCUAAACAGUUUUUCACUAAGAGCUUGAUUGUUGCACCUUGCAUUCAAAUGUCUUUUCUCAGAAACCACUAGUUUGCUCUAAAUUCAAGCAAUGGCAACUGAAAUCUUGUACAAAGUAUCUCUAUGUUUACCUCCCAAAGUCCCGUCCACUUUGUAAAGAGGCUCCUCCCUCGGCUGACCCCACAGAUCCUCAUCGUUAGAGUGGACUAAAGGGCUUGCUGAGGAGCUGGAAAAAGAAGGGGAAGAGGAGGAAGAGGAGGCAUGCCAUGAUUUCUUCCUCAGGCAGUUCUGCAGCAAACUGUAUUCGGGGUAUAUAAGCUGCAAAAGCUGAUCCACACUUGUCACUGUCUUUAAACUGGGCUGGUCAUCUGAGAACGCAGGAGCCUGGAAGACGGGGAAAAAAACAUAUAGACUUUUCUUCAUAUGAUGCCACAAAGCGUCACCAAGAGGAGAAAAAUUAAGGAAAAGUUAAAAGUUAAGGAGAUAAAAUUUUCAGAGUUCGUGUUUUUUGACGGAAAACUAUUACAUGCUGUAGAAUUUAAAGUGUCAGCAUUGCUGGUUUGAGCUGGAUAAACAGUGAAUACCUCAGCUACCAAUGUGUUGUAACAUGUUGCUGUUGGCUACUGUUACUUAUUAUGGGUACAUGUGUCCUCUCCUCACCUACACACACACACACACACACACACACACACACACACACACACACACACAGAUAGUUGCGUUCAAGUACACAAGAAAGCUGAGGUGAUUUUUCUUAACGCUAUUCUUUCACUAUUACUGCCUUUUUUGGGGCUCCCUUUCAUAGCAGUUCUCUCUGCACUCUGCAUUUUAAACGUCACCUAAGGCAAUGUGAUAAAAAUUUGAUUACCUGCCCUGCUGUCGCAGUGCCCUUGAGCAAGACGCUGUAAUCUGACUUAGUUUACCUAUGGGGUUUGAUUUUGUGCUACAUUUGGGUUUUCUGUAUUUUCCAAGUCCUUUUUUUUGUUUUAUCGAGUGUCCUACGUAAGAGCGUCUAAGGAGUUAAAGGCAGCAUUAGGCCUGCUUAUAUUGACCAAACAGACUGCAGAUUGUCAGCUCAGCCAACACCCAUCUUAUUAUUAAUAUUAUUAUGGGACAAAAAGGGCUUUAUGGUCCAUGCAGGAAGUCUCAGUUUACGGUAGGUAUUGUUCUAUAAACCAUUCCUGCUAUGAGUCAUCCCCAUAACGGUUUUUCUGCCGUCAUGAUGGACGAUUCUGUUCUACUCUGUGUACAUACAGUAGAUGAAAGAUAAAAGGUUAAUUGUGUUACAGAUUGGCUGAUAGGGGCCUCUUUCAUCUGUGGGGACUAAAUGUCAGCAGGGAGUUGCUGCAGGGUUGUUUGAGUGUCACAUAUUAAUUCUUCCUCCUGGGAGCGAGGGUGGUUGUUUAGUUUCCCAGGCUGAGCAGGGGCAAACUGGUACAGCUGGCAUUACCAAAACAGAAACCAGAUCUCUGUUGUUAUCAGUCUUUUCCCUUUAUCUUUCUCUCUCUCACUCACUCUCUCUCUGCCCCCCUCCCUUUCUGUUUCUUUCCAUCCAUCAAAUUUUCUUCCUCCCCUUUCUGUUUGUGCCUCACACAAAUGUACACUGUGGUGCGUGCACUGGGGAGCUAAAAGCUAACAUCAGCAUGCUCACAAUGGCAGUGCUAACAUGCUAAUAUAGGAGGUAUAUUGUUUACCAUGUUAACCAUCUGAUGGGAACAGUAAUUAUUUAGUCAUAAAACAAAGCUAUAAACAAAGUAAGCUUUUGACGGGGGGCAUGAAUCCGAAUGAAUGUGUGCACCAAAUUUCAUGACAAUCCAUCUGAUAGUUGUUGAGAUUGUAAGGAUUUGGUUGUGUGUUCAUGUUUUUCCUGUUUAGUCUGUGUUAAUAGGUUUGGUUUUGUGUUCUGUGUUCUGUAAGCUUUAUUUGAUCUUGUCAUGUUUGGGGUUUUGUAGCUUAAUCUAGUCUUUUGUUCAUUCGCAUGUUGAAGUUUCUUAAUCUGUCUUGUCUCUUAUCUUAGUUCUUAGUCCUGCGUUUUAGUUCUUAGUUGUGUGCUUUAGUUCAUGUUUAGUGUUUUUCCUGGUCUGUGUACUUCUAUGUUUUAUUAUUUUGGUCUGUGUCUUAUGUCCUUUGUCCUUAGUCUUAUGUCUCCAUGUUUUAGUGUAGGCCUCCUGUUUGGGCCGGACUCUGUCCAUGCCCUGAUUUUGCAGUCUUUCCAUGUUUUGUGUUUUACUUUGGUAGAUCUGUCCUCAUGUGUUCCGGAGUACUUUACUUCCUGUUUUAUUUUGUAAUCUUCUGUGCCGGGUGUUCUUGUCUACCUUUGUUCCUGUUGUUGAUUACCUGAUGUGUUUCAGCUGUGCUUCCCUCCCUGCUCGUUUGCCUGUGUAUAUAUUGUCCUCAGUUGUGUUCAGUGUUCGUAAUGUCCUUGUAUGUGCUGAGUGUUCUGUCCUGUCCCGGUGUUUUUUUUUUGGAUUACUUUGUGGAUUGUACCUGUUCUUGGAUUCCUCCCUUUGGAUUAAGUUUUGUUUGAACAUUUGCCGCUGUACUCCCAGCGUAAGGCUGCUUAGUUUUUGUUUUAAUAAAUCUUUAUUUGUACUGCA